GCGGUGUACACCUUCUCGGUGCCGGUCUGCGACGAUUCUUCGGGCCUCUUUCCGACCCGUCUUGAAACACGGACCAAGGAGUCUAACGUGUGCGCGAGUCGCGGGGUGUCGUCGACAGCGCGUUCCGAUCUUUCGGAGCGGCAGCCGUCGACGUUAUUCAAACGAAACCCGACGAAGGCGUAAUGAAAGUGAAUUUGGGAGGAUGGUGCCUCGAGUACACCUUCUCGGCGAAUUAAGCCGAGACCGAGUGCCCGCACUCCCGGGGCGUCCCACCAAGUCCGGCCGGUAUACGUGACAGCGGCGUUCUCGUCGCUGUCGGUUGCCGCCGAACUGGGGCGCACUCUGAGCGUACACGUUGGUACCCGAAAGAUGGUGAACUAUGCCCGGCCAGGAUGAAGUCAGGGGAAACCCUGAUGGAGGUCCGCAGCGAUUCUGACGUGCAAAUCGAUCGUCUGAG
rnacentral:rRNA from 1 species